CAGAAGACCAUCAGGCAGCUCUGCCCAUCAGUCCAGCGCUGCAUGUUGGUCUUCUGCU
ensembl:miRNA gmo-mir-11241 gmo-mir-11241